AGCCUGAACGCUGGCGGCGUGGCUAAGACAUGCAAGUCGAACGGAUGUAGCAAUACAUCAGUGGCGGACGGGUGAGUAAUGAAUCGCUAACGUACCCCGGAGCCUGGGAUAGCUGCCCGAAAGGGCAGGUAAUACCAGAUGAGACCACGAACAGGCAUCUGUUUGUGCUCAAAGCAGCAAUGCAC
rnacentral:rRNA from 1 species